UCAAGGAUAAGAGUCUUAUCUACCACCCCCUACCUUUUUGGAGAUAAUAUGGUUGGUUAAUCAUAUAAGAAAUUAAAAGUCAAUAAAAGGGUAAUUCCAUGCAUACCUACCUUGCGGUCUCACCAAUCAUUAACGGAAUGUUGGAAGGCACGCAAUACUGAUACUUCAUCAUCUUUGAUGGAUCCUCUUCUAGCAGGAAUUUGACCCACAUCAUCUCGGAGGAGCGUCGAUUUAUAGUGGAGGAGGAUGGUGAGGGAGAGCAAGGUGAAUACUUAUGAUCGAGAAGCUUGUAUAGCUGGAGGCUGAUGUUGUUGUGUAGGAGAAUCAUGUACAAGCGGCAUAUGUACAUAAGGCUAUAGAGGAGGAGGAGAAGAACAAGGAGGAGCAUGUGGAGGAGCAUGCACUGCCAGUGAGGGAUGAAGACCAUAUGCAUCAAGAGGAAUAUGUAUAGCGAAAAGAUGAGCUUACACAGUAACCUGGAGAAUCGUAUGAUAUAUUUGUCCUUACACGAUAUCAGUAUCAUGUUGAUGGUAGAGUAUGAUUUGGUCAAGUAUAUUAGUUAUUUUGAUUUUUAAAUU